GUAGGUAACCUGCCCAUGUGUCCGGGAUAACUGCUGGAAACGGUAGCUAAAACCGGAUAGGUAUACGGAGCGCAUGCUCUGUAUAUUAAAGCGCCCAUCAAGGCGUGAACAUGGAUGGACCUGCGGCGCAUUAGCUAGUUGGUGAGGUAACGGCCCACCAAGGCGACGAUGCGUAGCCGACCUGAGAGGGUGAUCGGCCACAUUGGGACUGAGACACGGCCCAGACUCCUACGGGAGGCAGCAUG
rnacentral:rRNA from 1 species